rnacentral:other from 1 species
UUAUCCCUGCUGUGUUCGUGAUGAGCUUCUUUGUUGAGCCAACACCUAUUUCUUGGGAAUCGGAGCAUACGCAGAGGGGAUGUAGUAGCCGUCAGGCAAGGCAGAGUCCUCGCGACACAAGAUUCCCACCUGCGCGAGCAGGUUCAAACAGUAGAGGUUCACACGGCACGGCGGGGUGCCA